rnacentral:tRNA from 1 species
UCCUCAGUAGCUCAGCCGGUUAGAGCACAUGACUGUUAAUCAUGGGGUCGCAGGUUCGAGCCCUGCCUGAGGAG